rnacentral:rRNA from 1 species
GAUGAACGCUAGCUACAGGCUUAACACAUGCAAGUCGAGGGGCAGCGGUAUCGAAAGCUUGCUUUCGGUAGCCGGCGACCGGCGCACGGGUGAGUAACGCGUAUCGAACCUGCCUCAUACUCGGGAAUAGCCUUGCGAAAGUAAGAUUAAUGCCCGGUGUUUUCAGAGUCCCGCAUGAGGCUUUGAACAAAGAUUUAUCGGUAUGAGAUGGCGAUGCGUCCCAUUAGCUUGUUGGCGGGGUAACGGCCCACCAAGGCAUCGAUGGGUAGGGGUUCUGAGAGGAAGGUCCCCCACAUUGGAACUGAGACACGGUCCAAACUCCUACGGGAGGCAGCAGUGAGGAAGAUUGGUCAAUGGGCGGAAGCCUGAACCAGCCAAGUAGCGUGCAGGAAGACGGCCCUCCGGGUUGUAAACUGCUUUUAGUUGGGAAUAAAACGGGGCUCGUGAGCCCCCUUGCAUGUACCAUCAGAAAAAGAACCGGCUAAUUCCGUG